CCUACGGGUGGCUGCAGUGGGGGAUAUUGGACAAUGGGGGGAACCCUGAUCCAGCCAUGCCGCGUGUGUGAAGAAGGCCCUCGGGUUGUAAAGCACUUUCAGUGAGGAAGAACGCCUGGUGGUUAAUACCCAUCAGGAAAGACAUCACUCACAGAAGAAGCACCGGCUAACUCCGUGCCAGCAGCCGCGGUAAUACGGAGGGUGCGAGCGUUAAUCGGAAUUACUGGGCGUAAAGCGCGCGUAGGUGGCUUGAUAAGCCGGUUGUGAAAGCCCCGGGCUCAACCUGGGAACGGCAUCCGGAACUGUCAAGCUAGAGUGCAGGAGAGGAAGGUAGAAUUCCCGGUGUAGCGGUGAAAUGCGUAGAGAUCGGGAGGAAUACCAGUGGCGAAGGCGGCCUUCUGGACUGACACUGACACUGAGGUGCGAAAGCGUGGGUAGCAAACAGGAUUAGAUACCCUUGUAGUC
rnacentral:rRNA from 1 species